rnacentral:misc_RNA from 1 species
AACCUUAUGGACCUGCGGGCGUAUACCUGCGGAGGGAUCAUUACCGAGUUUACAACUCCCAAACCCCUGUGAACAUACCUAUACGUUGCCUCGGCGGAUCAGCCCGCGCCCUGUAAAAAGGGACGGCCCGCCCGAGGACCCUAAACUCUGUUUUUAGUGGAACUUCUGAGUAAAACAAACAAAUAAAUCAAAACUUUUAGCAAUGGAUCU